UAAUAGGCCACAAAUAUAAACGGACAGUUCGUUAAACCGGAUAAGUUGUAACGCAAACUCUCAAAUUUCGUUUGAUCAGGUUAUUUUCAUAAAAUAUUUCGAUACUUUCAAGUUUCAGCUCAUCGGAGCUCAUUAGAUGAAGAUGGAUGAAGAUAGCUGUUUCUUCGGCGAUGGCGGCACUCUAGCUGCGUUUCACCGGAAGAGUAGAUGUUUACGAUUCUGGCUGUAUUCUGGAGCGUUUCCUCAUGGGCGUCGCAGUUCACACACGUCACGGAUUCCGCCGAAUUAGUCGAUAAUUAAAACUGAACUUUUGGAUCGGAGAUAUGAAGACGCGCGCUGCAUUUUGCUUGGCGGAGACGCACAGCUCUGACACUAGACAAUAUUAUAUACUCGAAGAGAACGCGUUUCGCCGGAAGAAUAAAUAAUUACAAAUGGUAUUCGCCAGUGAACGUUUUCAAACUGGGAAUAAUAUAUCAUAAGCAGAUUGAAAUGUGUGAACGUUUCAGUAUUUCGAAAACUAAGUUUCGUAGCAGAUUUUGAUUCCGUCACGAGGUAUGUAUUUUCUUAUUUCUCAGUAAGUUUUUUUUUAUUAUAGUUAAUUGAUCAGGGGAUGUAUUGCCCGAAAAUUUUCAAUAUUUGUAUUGUAACUAUACUGGUAUAACACUAUUCGGGCUAUCAAUAAAGUCGUGUUCAAAAUUAGAAAAUUGGUGAGGUAUGAUAUUUUUUUUAGCAAUUAUUUCGAGUAGGGAAUUCGCUCAAUGAUAUUUAAAUAUUUUCACCGAUAAUCAAGUACGAUGACUUGUAGGUAACUUGAGACUGAGUGAAUAGGAAUUAGGAAGUGUGUGAUAUGGCGAAGAUAAGGAAAUGGGUCAACAGGAUUUCAGAAUGUUUGGUGUAGGAAAGGGAAAGAUGAAAAAGAAAUGUAAGGUUAGGGUAGGUAAGUGGAGUGAGAGUAGGAGAUAUGAGAAUAAUAAGUAAGGUUACAAAAGAGGAUAGAAUAAGAAAUUAAUUAAUUAAGGGUAGUGUAGGGUAGUGUAGGGUAGUGUACAUAUUGUAGUGAAAACAAGAGAGAAUAGGUUUAGGUGGUUCGGUCACUGUAUGAUAAGAGAUAGUGAGAGUGGCUAUAGAAGUUAAUUUACGGGAGGAAUGAUGGACGAGAAGACUGAAGAAGAGAUGGAUAGACAGAAUACCGAUCAUAUGGAGGUGUGGAAUGAGAGUGGCUGAACCUGUAUAUAGCUGUGAGAGACGGGGGAAGAAAAAGUGUAAAGGUAGAAUAGUUAUGUUAACAAUGCCGAAUACGUAGGAAAAGAUAUUGAAUUGCAAAGGCCCUAUUGACUCUUUGGCUUCAACUAACCAUAAGUUUACCUAACUAACCUUCUUAUAACUCAUUAGGACACUUUGAAUAAAAAGAUCCUGAGUUGCAAGUUGCCGAACUUAAGUGUUUGAUUAUCAAGUUGAUUCUUUGAUUGUUGACACCUUAAUCCCGGAGGGGAAGGCAAUUGAGGCUCCUUUAUAUUGAUAGUCGAUAGUCGAUACUCGAUAUAAGUAUACUUUAUUUGGUAUACUUUACAGUUUUUUCUGUUUAAUAUUCUGGGGAUUUUAGUUUGAAUUUUGUAAUGUGGAAUCAUACAGUUAAAUUUAUUCAACCUUUUUUUUUUGUUUCCUAAAAUGCAUUUGCCUGCGGGCGCCAACACCCUCCUUCAAUUUUUUUUUAUGAUUUAACCUCUAUCCAAAUUUUUUAAACAUUGACAUAUUUAUACCUCUUGAAUAUUCCUUGUUUAAUGAAAUAAAUAUUUUAAACAGUUUUUUCUGUUUAAUAUUCUUGGGAUUUUAGUUUGAACUUUGAAAUGUAUUUUUCUUCUGUAAAAUUUUUUCCAAUUUUUUUUUUUUGUUUUCUAAAAUGCAUUCGCCUGUGGGCGCCAACACCCUCCUUCAAUUUUUUUUUUAUGAUUUUAUCUCUAGCCAGUUUUUUUAAACAUUGACAAUUGGGUACCCUUGAAUAAUUCUUAUCUUUAAUGAACUAAAUAUUUUAAAUA